rnacentral:rRNA from 1 species
AUGCCGGAGCUUAAUUCCCAUAUACAGAAUUACUUCUCUCAUUUAUUCACAUCUGAGGUGCAGCAGACAAAUCCAAAUGUUUUGAAGAAAGUACAACACAAAGUCACCGAUCAGAUGAAUAACUUUUUGAUGGCUCCUUUCUCGGCUGAGGAUGUUAAAAAAACGGUGUUUAGUAUUGGUGAUUUAAAGGCACCAGGGCCAGAUGGACUACAUGCAGUUUUUUUCAAAAAAUAUUGGCACAUAUUAGGGGAUGAGGUCACCCAGGAGGUAUUGGCAGCCAUUAAUACAAGACAAAUUCCGAGUGAAUGGAAUGACACAACGAUAGUCAUGAUUCCCAAGAUUGACAACCCUGAAUUGGUAACCCAAUUUCGUCCUAUAAGUCUUUGUAAUGUUCUUUACAAGAUUAUCUCGAAAAUGCUAGCUUUGCGUUUAAAUUUUUUUUUGCCUGGGAUAAUUUCCCCUAUGCAAAGUGCUUUCGUGCCUGGUAGGAUGAUCACUGAUAAUAUCCUUAUAGCAUAUGAAUGUGUUCAUAAAAUAAAGAACACUAGAUCUGGCAGGACAGGAUUAUGUGCAGUUAAAUUGGACAUGCACAAAGCAUAUGACAGAGUGGAGUGGUCCUUUUUGCAUGAUAUGAUGGUGAAAUUGGGAUUCCAUGAACAAUGGAUCCAACUGAUGAUGGCAUGCAUCAGCACUGUUAAUUAUAAAGUGAGGUUCAAUUCCCAGGAGACGGAUGUGUUUACUCCGAGUAGGGGGAUUAGGCAGGGGGAUCCCCUAUCCCCGUAUCUUUUUCUCUUGUGUGCAGAGGGUCUUUCUAGUCUAUUGCAGUUUGAAGAAGCUGGUGGCAUUGAGGGGAUUAGAGUGUGCAGAAGUGCACCAUCAGUAUCACCCCUUUUAUUCGCUGAUGAUUCUCUAAUUCUCAUGAAGGCAAACAUUUUAAAUGCAGCUUCCUUACAGCAUGUACUAGAAGCCUACUAUGAAAGCUCAAGACAAAUGGUGAGUUUGGCUAAAUCCAGUGUGUUUUUCAGUCCUAACACUCCAGUUGUUUCUAGAACAGAAGUUUGUCAGGAGUUACAUAUUGACACUGAAGCCCUAUCAGAUAAAUACUUGGGACUCUCGGCUAUGGUUGGGGCUGACAGGAGUGAUUGCUUCAGACACUUCUAUGACAGAAUUAAGGAGAAAUUGAAAGGGUGGAUGGAAAAGCAAUUAUCGAUUGGAGGUAAAGAGAUUCUACUCAAGUCAGUAGCUGAGGCCAUACCAGUUUUUGCUAUGUCUGUUUUUAGCUUGCCCAAAAGCCUUUGUAAGGAUAUUACAGAUUUGAUUGCACAAUUUUGGUGGGGAGAUGAUGAAGAACACAAAAGAAUGCAUUGGUAUACUUGGUGGAAACUUUGUUACCCUAAAUGCGAGGGGGGCAUGGGGUUUCGAGACCUCUAUUCGUUCAACCUUGCGAUGCUCUCGAAGCAAUGUUGGCGGUUGAUUACUAACCCGUAGUCCUUGUGUGCAUGAGUUCUGAAAGCUAAAUAUUUCUCCAAUGGAAGUUUACUUGAAGCUACCUUGAAGAGUGGUGCGUCAUUUACAUGGCAAAGCAUAAUGAAGGGCCUAGAAACUUUUAAGUUGGGGUACAUAUGGAGGAUAGGGGACUGGCGCAAAUGUUAA